AUUGAACGCUGGCGGCAGGCCUAACACAUGCAAGUCGAACGGUAACAGGAAGCAGCUUGCUGCUUUGCUGACGAGUGGCGGACAGGUGAGUAAUGUCUGGGAAACUGCCUGAUGGAGGGGGAUAACUACUGGAAACGGUAGCUAAUACCGCAUAACGUCGCAAGACCAAAGAGGGGGACCUUAGGGCCUCUUGCCAUCGGAUGUGCCCAGAUGGGAUUAGCUAGUAGGUGGGGUAACGGCUCACCUAGGCGACGAUCCCUAGCUGGUCUGAGAGGAUGACCAGCCACACUGGAACUGAGACACGGUCCAGACUCCUACGGGAGGCAGCAGUGGGGAAUAUUGCACAAUGGGCGCAAGCCUGAUGCAGCCAUGCCGCGUGUAUGAAGAAGGCCUUCGGGUUGUAAAGUACUUUCGGCGGGGAGGAAGGGAGUAAAGUUAAUACCUUUGCUCAUUGACGUUACCCGCAGAAGAAGCACCGGCUAACUCCGUG
rnacentral:rRNA from 1 species